CCUUCCAUCUCUAUAAAUUGGGACUUCGGACCUUUUCCUACGUCUCGCGUUGGGUUCUUGUGUGGGUUUUGUAGGGCUACAGAGAGAGGAAGAUGAGGGAUCUUUGUGUGUUGAUUCGCGAUGCACGAUUCUGCGUUCGCAGUUGCAGUAUCAAUUCGGUUAUUUUUUCUUUUCCUUUGGUUUUUGUUCAUUUAUCCUCCGCAAAGCCUUGUUAAGGUCUAUUUGAGUACAAAUGUUUGUUGCAUGUAGCAAUAGGAAAAGGUUGUAGGUUCGCUGUGAGCGGACGUUUGGAUUUUGACAGGUUCUGCUUCGCCAUGGGGUAUGUUGAUGUUGAGAUACUGUGAUGCACGGUGCACCCCGGGUUUCUCUGAAGAGACCUGUGACGAUCGAAGCCCCAAUGCUUGUGCGGGAUUAAGCUUCCGUUCCGUGUUGCAGGGAGAAUCUACUUGGGAAAGCAGCAACCUAUAUGACAUCAACUAACACUUCUGUGGCUCCAAUCUUUUACUACUUCAAGCCAUUCUAGCUUCGUUGGUGCCUGUUUUGCGGUAUUUACUGUCAUCUAGUUGCAUGAUUGUAUGGUUUUCUGAAAACAUUAUAUAUCCAUUUGCACUCAUAUCUGCUUGAAGUUGUCUUUGGUGAGUGUGUAUAGUUGGGUAAAAGCAAUAAUUGUCUAUCUUUUCCUACAUACAAUAAUUUAUGUUUCUCUAGGAAAGAUGUUGCAGAUCAGUUUUGUAGAUAGGGCUUGUGUGUUACUAACUUUGUGACCUGUCACAUCGUAGUACUGGGACCAAUUACUUUCAUGAUAUAUCUUUCAGUAUCUUUCUUUAUAAGGUUUUUAGCAUGACAUCUUCUGAAGUCCAUUGCUUACAGUAUCAUUUGUAAUUUUUUAUAUAAUAUUUUAUGAUAUAUGUUAAAUAUUUUCCUUUUUGUUCCUUCAAACAAUUAUCCUUUGAGAACUAGUUUGUUUUGCCUAUCUAGUAUUGCAGUGAUUGUUGACAAUACCUGAGUUUAACUAUCCUCCAGCUGCUCGUUAAUGAUAGGCCUGGAGGCUGAAGAACUCAGAAAUGUUGUGUUGCCAUCAGCUUCAUCUCCUGUCCUAUGAGUUUGGAGUUAAAUAACAACACAAAAUUUUAUAUUUGUAGAUAUACAUUCUUGGAGUUUGUCAUACGUAUUCUUUUACUUAACAAUUACCUAUAUGAGUUGCCAGUGCUGACCUCUCUUUGAUGUUGUUUUAUGUGAGCCCUAAAUUGGCAUUCAGGGUACGGCUGUUAAUUACCUUCCGGUAUUCUGCAACAUGGAGAUCGAUCUGUCAAUAUCCUUCGAUGAAUUAGGCAACAACUAUUCUGUGCUCGUCCUGUGCCAGUGUUAUGUUGGUAAAGGGACAUGUACAAGUUUUGGUGGUUCAGAUUCCCUCGUGAACUUUAUCCAGUUGGAUCAGAUUUCUACCUCUAUACUUGUUACUAAAUCGAAGCGGAUAGGUGAUAGUGACAUCCCAACAGCAUGCCAUCGUCUUCUUCCUCACGAUUAAUUUAACGUUGCCUUCUUUAAGAGUUUCGAGUGCACAGAUGCUUCUUCUAUUAGGUGAAUAAUCUAAUAUUGUUAAUUUAAUACAGUGCAUUAAAUAUUGGUAGUAUCAUAUUGACUACAAGUUGUAUGAUGAGAUCUCUGUCAUCAGCCGAGGGGCUGUUUUGGGCAAUACCCUUUUGAGAAGCUUCAUAGUUCUGUAUUAGACCUGCAAGUACUUGGGAAUCGUCUAAAUAGGAAUGUUGUGAGGGACCUGAUCAAAAUUCCCAGGUCUAUGGGCGAUCUCUCUGUAAAAACCGUAAUGGAUAUCCUAUUUAUCUCUUAUUUUAUUGGACGUUCUUUGA